UACGAAGGGGGCUAGCGUUGUUCGGAAUUACUGGGCGUAAAGAGUACGUAGGUGGUUUAUUAAGCUAGAUGUGAAAUCCCUGAGCUUAACUCAGGAACUGCAUUUAGAACUGGUAGGCUAGAGAGUGUUAGAGGUUGGAAGAAUUCCUAGUGUAGGGGUGAAAUCCGUAGAUAUUAGGAGGAAUACCGAUGGCGAAGGCAGCCAACUGGGACAUUUCUGACGCUGAGGUACGAAAGCGUGGGUAGCAAACAGG
rnacentral:rRNA from 1 species